CAUUAUGAAGCUAACUAGCGUUAACCUUUUAAGUUAAAGAUUGAAGGCUCAAACCCCUCCAUAAUGA
rnacentral:tRNA from 2 species